rfam:Altererythrobacter marensis strain KCTC 22370, complete genome.
UCACUUCACAUUAAUCGCCAGUGCCCUAUAUAGGGCGGUGCCGGCGUCAGUCGGCUAUGGCGAUAAAUUGCGGUGUGCAAUAGGCACAACGGACCCGGGGGCAGUACCCGGCGGCUCCACCAAAAGGCGUUUGACGGCAAACGUUUCCUGAUGGGGCCGAACCAGGAUCGACGUGUGUUGAAAGGCAUCGUUUUCGCCCGGGCUGAGUAACCCGUUAAAGGCUCAAAACUCACAAGUGCCAACGAUAAUGAAGCACUUGCUCUCGCUGCGUAAUGUGACGGCCUAACGGCCUGAAUUUAUAAAGCUAAGAGCGCGGUUGGACCGACCGGUCAACAGAACGGAUACCGGGGGCCCGGGGGAGCCUAGCAACAGAAUCCCCCACC